rnacentral:lncRNA from 1 species
ACUGGUCUUCUGUUUCCACUGUCGCCUCGUGUGACACAAACUGCCACCUAUCUCCCAAGCUUAAUGCAGUUAAGUAACAAGAUCUUGGAAGACAAGUGUUGAAGGUGAAAGAGGCACAAGAUAGAAGAAACCUGGGUCCUUAGAUCCUUGCUUGGAGGAAAACCACCUGCCAAUCCAGAACAUCAUUUUGGACUUCAUCCUUGAAACCAACUCUCUGCAGAGCAAUUCCUGUUUCCACAAAGGGUGCAUCAGGAUGCAUGGGACCCCCGGAUCACAGGCCCCACGUGUGAACGAAGCAACACAGACCAUGGAUAACAGAGACCUCUCUAGGACGGAGUCUCGCUUUGUCGCCCAGCCUGGAGUGCAAUGGCGCGAUCCCGGCUCACUGCAACCUCUGCCCACCAGUAGAGACAGGGUUUCG